ensembl:lncRNA
GCCUGCUUGAAAAGUACUUUUCUCCUUGUAAACGAAAUCCAAGCAUUUUGGCACUGAAACUUAAUUUUAUGUAUUAAAUUGAUUUUUUUUCCAGUCUACCUUUCAUUCAUAAACACUUUAUUAUCUAUUUAUAAGAAGAAGAAAAAAAAAAACACACAAAUAGGAAAACCACAUGAAUAAUCUGGCACUGGUGCUUUAUGUGAAAGUUGAUUUUCACAACCAUUCCUACAUCUUCAGUUUUUUCCUCCGACAUUUAUUAACUUUUUAUGAAAGGCAGGGGGAUUUCUUUCCCCAGUGGGCACUUCCCAAGUUUCUUUUCAGAUGUCUGAUUUUUGGCAAUUACCCUCAAAAUGGUGACUGCUGUCAGAGCCCUGCUGGCACAAAGACCAUGUGGAGAGCUUUAGUUUCCCAGCAAAGGCCCAUCAUGUCACAGAGCCCUCCAUUCAUGGUUUUGUCACUGAAGAGCCAUGAUGAAAGUUGCAAUUCCACUAGUUGCUCUUGGUAAAGGCCGCUACUACCCAUCAUUUCACACAGAUCUGGUUACACACGCACAGAAAAGUCAUCAAUGCAUUGGAAGAAGACAAAGGGAGAGACUGUUUCUGCUUAUGCAGAACUUCUGGAGAUGCAAUACAGCACAUCAUGGUUUCAACUCACUGCCACUGCAGCAAGAUGGGCCCUGGAGGAAAAAACAAG